AGCAGCCGCGGUAAUUCCAGCUCCAAUGGCGUAUAUUAAAGUUGUUGCAGUUAAAAAGCUCGUAGUUGAAUUUCGGGGUCAGUAGGUCGGUCGUGCCACAGGUAUGCACUGGUCUCACCGAUUCCUCCUUCCUGAUGAACCGUAAUGCCAUUAAUUUGGUGUUGCGGGGAAACUGGACUGUUACUUUAGAAAAAUUAGAGUGUUUAAAGCAGGCUAACGCUUGAAUACAUUAGCAUGGAAUAAUGAAAUAGGACGUUCGAUUCUAUUUUGUUGGUUUCUUAGGAUUGACGUAAUGAUUAAUAGGGAUAGUUGGGGGCAUUAGUAUUCAAUUGUCAGAGGUGAAAUUCUUGGAUUUAUUGAAGACUAACUACUGCGAAAGCAUUUGCCAAGGAUGUUUUCAUUAAUCAAGAACGAAAGUUAGGGGAUCGAAGACGAUCAGAUACCGUCGUAGUCUUAACCAUAAACUAUGCCGACUAGGGAUCGGAUGAUGUUAAUUUUUAAUGUACUUCAUUCGGCGUCC
rnacentral:rRNA from 1 species